rnacentral:rRNA from 1 species
UACAGAGACUGCAAGCGUUAUUCGGAUUCACUGGGCGUAAAGGGUGCGCAGGCGGCCAAGUGUGUGAGGCGUGAAAGCCCGGGGCUUAACCCCGGAAUUGCACCUCAAACUACAUGGCUAGAGCAUUGGAGAGGGUAGCAGAAUUCAUGGUGUAGCAGUGAAAUGCGUAGAUAUCAUGAGGAAUACCAGAGGCGAAGGCGGCUACCUGGACAAUUGCUGACGCUCAGGCACGAAAGCGUGGGGAGCAAACCGG